rnacentral:rRNA from 1 species
AGUGAACGCUGGCGGUAGGCCUAACACAUGCAAGUCGAACGGCAGCGCAGUAAGAGCUUGCUCUUACGGGUGGCGAGUGGCGGACGGGUGAGGAAUACAUCGGAAUCUACUUUUUCGUGGGGGAUAACGUAGGGAAACUUACGCUAAUACCGCAUACGACCUACGGGUGAAAGCAGGGGAUCUUCGGACCUUGCGCGAUUGAAUGAGCCGAUGUCGGAUUAGCUAGUCGGCGGGGUAAAGGCCCACCAAGGCGACGAUCCGUAGCUGGUCUGAGAGGAUGAUCAGCCACACUGGAACUGAGACACGGUCCAGACUCCUACGGGAGGCAGCAGUGGGGAAUAUUGGACAAUGGGCGCAAGCCUGAUCCAGCCAUACCGCGUGGGCGAAGAAGGCCUUCGGGUUGUAAAGCCCUUUUGUUGGGAAAGAAAAGCAGCAGGUUAAUACCCCGCUGUUCUGACGGUACCCAAAGAAUAAGCACCGGCUAACUUCGUG